rnacentral:rRNA from 1 species
GACUGAGCGGCGGACGGGUGAGUAACGCGUGGGUAACCUGCCUCAUACCGGGGGAUAACACUUAGAAAUGACUGCUAAUACCGCAUAAGCACACAGUACCGCAUGGUACAGUGUGAAAAACUCCGGUGGUAUGUGAUGGACCCGCGUCUGAUUAGCUGGUUGGCGGGGUAACGGCCCACCAAGGCGACGAUCAGUAGCCGACCUGAGAGGGUGACCGGCCACAUUGGGACUGAGACACGGCCCAUACUCCUACGGGAGGCAGCAGUAGGGAAUUUUGCGCAAUGGGGGCAACCCUGACGCAGCAACGCCGCGUGAUUGAUUAAGCCCUUCGGGGUGUAAAGAUCUGUCAGUGGGGACGAAAUAUGACGGUACCCACAGAGGAAGCACCGGCUAACUCCGUGCCAGCAGCCGCGGUAAUACGGAGGGUGCAAGCGUUGUCCGGAAUCAUUGGGCGUAAAGAGUUCGUAGGUGGCAUGUAAAGUCUGGUGUUAAAGGCAGAAGCUCAACUUCUGUAGGGCACUGGAUACUUGCAAGCUGGAAUGCGGUAGAGGUAAAGGGAAUUCCUGGUGUAGCGGUGAAAUGCGUAGAUAUCAGGAGGAACAUCGGUGGCGUAAGCGCUUUACUGGGCCGUAAUUGACACUGAGGAACGAAAGCCGGGGUAGCAAAUGGGAUUAGAUACCCCAGUAGUCCCGGCCGUAAACGAUGGAUACUAGGUGUUGCGGGUAUCGCCCCCAUGCGGGCCCGCAGAUAACGAUAUAAGUAUUCCACCCUGGGGAGUACGUUCGCAAGAAAUGAAACUCAAAGGAAUGGACGGGAACCCGCACAAGCGGAGGAGCAUAUGGUUUAAUUCGAAGCAACGCGAAGAACCUUACCAGGCCUUGACAUCCCGGUGACCGUCCCGUAAUGGGGACCUCUCUUCGGAGCACCGGUGACAGGUGGUGCAUGGUUGUCGUCAGCUCGUGUCGUGAGAUGUUGGGUUAAGUCCCGCAACGAGCGCAACCCCUAUGUUCAGUAGCCAGCAGGUAAGGCUGGGCACUCUGGACAGACUGCCGGGGAUAACCCGGAGGAAGGCGGGGAUGACGUCAAAUCAUCAUGCCCCUUACGGCCUGGGCUACACACGUGCUACAAUGGCGUAAACAAAGGGAAGCGAGAGGGUGACCUGGAGCGAAUCCCAAAAAUAACGUCCCAGUUCGGACAAUAGUCUGCAACCCGACUACACGAAGCUG